rnacentral:rRNA from 1 species
GACGAACGCUGGCGGCGUGCUUAACACAUGCAAGUCGAACGCUGAAGCUCAGCUUUUGUUGGGUGGAUGAGUGGCGAACGGGUGAGUAACACGUGAGUAACCUGCCCCCUUCUUUGGGAUAACGCCCGGAAACGGGUGCUAAUACUGGAUAUUCACUGGUCUUCGCAUGGGGGUUGGUGGAAAGGGUUUUUCUGGUGGGGGAUGGGCUCGCGGCCUAUCAGCUUGUUGGUGGGGUGAUGGCCUACCAAGGCUUUGACGGGUAGCCGGCCUGAGAGGGUGACCGGUCACAUUGGGACUGAGAUACGGCCCAGACUCCUACGGGAGGCAGCAGUGGGGAAUAUUGCACAAUGGGCGCAAGCCUGAUGCAGCGACGGCGCGUGAGGGAUGGAGGCCUUCGGGUUGUGAACCUCUUUCGCUCAUGGUCAAGCCGCAACAAUGGUUGUGGUGAGGGUAGUGGGUAAAGAAGCGCCGGCUAACUACGUG